rnacentral:rRNA from 1 species
UAUCCUGGCUCAGGAUGAACGCUGGCGGCGUGCUUAACACAUGCAAGUCGAACGAAGCACCUGAGAAUGAUUCUUCGGAUGAAGUCUCUUGUGACUGAGUGGCGGACGGGUGAGUAACGCGUGGGUAACCUGCCUCACACAGGGGGAUAACAGUUGGAAACGACCGCUAAUACCGCAUAACCCGCUGGUGCCGCAUGGCACUGACGGAAAAGAUUUUAUCGGUGUGAGAUGGACCCGCGUCUGAUUAGCCAGUUGGCAGGGUAACGGCCUACCAAAGCGACGAUCAGUAGCCGGCCUGAGAGGGUGAACGGCCACAUUGGGACUGAGACACGGCCCAGACUCCUGCGGGAGGCAGCAGUGGGGAAUAUUGCACAAUGGGGGAAACCCUGAUGCAGCGACGCCGCGUGAGUGAAGAAGUAUUUCGGUAUGUAAAGCUCUAUCAGCAGGGAAGAAAAUGACGGUACCUGACUAAGAAGCCCCGGCUAACUACGUG